AGAGUUUGAUCAUGGCUCAGGAUGAACGCUAGCGGCAGGCUUAAUACAUGCAAGUCGAGGGGCAGCGGGGGUAGCAAUACCUGCCGGCGACCGGCAAACGGGUGCGGAACACGUACGCAACCUUCCCAGAACAGGUGAAUAGCCCUCCGAAAGGAGGAUUAAUACACCGUAAGAUAUAGAGAUGGCAUCAUUUUUAUAUAAUAGGCAGCAAUGCCGGUUUUGGAUGGGCGUGCGGCUGAUUAGGUAGUUGGCGGGGUAACGGCCCACCAAGCCUCCGAUCAGUAACUGGUGUGAGAGCACGACCAGUCACACGGGCACUGAGACACGGGCCCGACUCCUACGGGAGGCAGCAGUAAGGAAUAUUGGUCAAUGGACGCAAGUCUGAACCAGCCAUGCCGCGUGAAGGAUGAAGGCCCUCUGGGUUGUAAACUUCUUUUAUCUGGGACGAAAAAAGGGCUUUCUAGCUCACUUGACGGUACCAGAGGAAUAAGCACCGGCUAACUCCGUGCCAGCAGCCGCGGUAAUACGGAGGGUGCAAGCGUUAUCCGGAUUUACUGGGUUUAAAGGGUGCGUAGGUGGGCAGGUAAGUCAGUGGUGAAAUCUUCAAGCUUAACUUGGAAACUGCCAUUGAUACUAUUUGUCUUGAAUAUCCUGGAGGUAAGCGGAAUAUGUCAUGUAGCGGUGAAAUGCUUAGAUAUGACAUAGAACACCCAUUGCGAAGGCAGCUUACUACGGGAUUAUUGACACUGAGGCACGAAAGCGUGGGGAUCAAACAGGAUUAGAUACCCUAGUAGUCC
rnacentral:rRNA from 1 species